rnacentral:rRNA from 1 species
GAUGAACGCUGGCGGCGUGCCUAAUACAUGCAAGUCGAGCGAACAGACGAGGAGCUUGCUCCUUUGACGUUAGCGGCGGACGGGUGAGUAACACGUGGAUAACCUACCUAUAAGACUGGGAUAACUUCGGGAAACCGGCGAUAAUACCGGAUAAUCUAUUGAACCGCAUGGUUCAAUAGUGAAAGACGGUUUUGCUGUCACUUAUAGAUGGAUCUGCGCCGCAUUAGCUAGUUGGUAGGGUAACGGCUUACCAAGGCGAGGAGUCGUAGCCGACCUGUUAGGCUGAUAGCCCACACUGGAGCUGGAACACGGUCCAGACGCCUACGGGAGGCAGCAGUAGGGAAUCUUCCGCAAUGGGCGAAAGCCUGACAGAGCAACGCCACGUGAGUGAUGAAGAUCUUCGGAUCGUAAAACUCUGUUAUUAGGUAAGAACAAAUGUGUAAGUAACUAUGCACUGCUUGACGGUACCUAAUCAGAAAGCCACGGCUAACUACGUG